rnacentral:lncRNA from 1 species
GUGUCAGCUGGCAGUCUCCAGGUGGCGUUCCUGACCCAAGCCUGGCUGAGGGCUCACACGUUGUGGGUCCUCUUGGUGAGCUGGGGCUCCUCAUCUACUAGUUUGGAUUUGAGGUGCUCCUUGUAGGCAAGGAUGUCUCCAAGCCAUUUAAUGAUUGUCUGCUUCUCACAGACCCAAAUCUCCUGUGCAACCUGCUGGAUGAGUCUGAAGUCAUGGCUGACUAGCAUCAUACCACCCUCAAACUCAUUGAUGGCAUCUGCCAGUGCAUCAAUGGUCUCGAUGUCCAGCACUUCAUCACAUACUCCAAUGCCGAAAGGUCCAGGUCCAACUGCUCCUGUAAGUGCUGAUGGUAACGCCCUAUCUUGACAUGAGAAUGCUUCCGGAUCAUUCCAGCUGUGGGUAGAAGCUCUCCAGUGAGCAGCUUCAAAAGAGUGGAUUUCCCUGCACCAUUAGGUCCUACCAGAGCCACCCGUGUGUCAAGGUCAAUGCCAAAUUCUAGAUUAUUGUAGAUGCAAGGUCUGUCUUUUGUGUACUUGAAGCUCACAUUCUGCACCAUGAUGACAGGCGGUGGGAUUUUACCACAAGGUGGGAAAUAAAAUGACAGCGUCUUGUCACUCACAACCCUUUCUGUUAGUCCUGAUGCCAUCAUUUUCUGUAGAGUUUUCUCUUUGCUCUGAGCCUGCGGGGCCAGCUUGGCAAUGCCAUGGCCAAAUCUGGCAAUGUAGUUCUUCAUGUGUGCGAUCUGGUCCUGCUCCCAGUGAAACCUCUUCAUCUGGUUCUCCUCCAGCUCCAGCCGCGUCUUCACAUACUGAUCAUAAUUACCCAUGUAAUACUUGAGUUUCUUGUUGUGCAUGUGGAUAAUAUUGGUACAGACUCCAUUCAGAAAGUCCUGAGAAUGUGACACAAGGACCACGAUGCGCUUGAAAGUCUUAAGUUCCUCUUCCAGCCACACACAAGCAUCCAGGUCCAGGUGGUUGGUAGGCUCAUCCAGAAGCAGCAUGAAGGGCCGAAUAAAGAGGGCUCUGGCAAGAGCAACUCUCAUCCGCCAGCCAUCACUGAAAUCUUUCAGCUUCUUGCGCUGCAUGGCAGGUGUGAAACCCAGCCCAUGUAAGAUCCUUGAGGCCCUCAUC